GUGCUCCUUCGGCAGCACACAUUCUAAAACUGAAAUGAAACAGAGAUUAGUAUGGCCCCUGCACAAGCAUGACUGCAAAUUUGUGAAGCAUGCCAUAUUUAA
ensembl:snRNA U6 U6 spliceosomal RNA